AAAAGCAGUAAAGGACAAGGCCUCUGAAGCCACAAAUGCAGCAAAGGAGAAGGCUUAUGAGGCUACAAAGGCAGCGGAAGAUGAGACAUACGAGACCAAGAAUGCGGCUGAGGAAACAGCCAGCAAGGCUGCAGAGAAGGCCAAUGAGGCAAAGCAAAAGGUAGGGCAAACAGCAGAGGAGAUUAAGAACAAGGCUUAUGAGAAGGCAGAGGAGACCAAGGAGGCAAAAGAAAAGGCAAAGCAAAAAGCAGAGGAAGUGAACAAGGAGGCCUAUGAGGAGGCAGAGGAGACCAAAGAAGCAAAGCCAAAAACAGAGGAGGUGAAGAACAAGGCAGCUCACAAAGCGAAGGAGGGUUAUGAGGCAGCCAAGAAGAAAGCAGAAGAGACUGUGAAGUCUACCAAGGACACUGUGGCAUCUAAUUUCGAAGCUGCCAAGCAGACGUCACAGAAGAUUAAAGAGAAUGUGGCUGGUCAAGGCCGUGAUGAGGAGCUCUGAGCUGCUCUGCCUGUAGUUUUCUAUCCACACUUGAUGACCAUUUCUUCUUAUAUAGUUUUGUUUUGAUCAAGUCUCUGAUCUUACAAGUUGGGUUUUGUUGUGUAGAGAUGUAGUUUUGUAUUUUAUGUAUGUUUGAUUUUGUUGUAAUGUACUUCUUUCAAUCUCUGCUUGAAAUAUAAUUUGGAGCCAGCUUUGUAUUUCGAACUUGAGCAAUAAUAUGAAAAUUUUCGUCUCCACAAUUGUUUUGGGGCCGAGACCCUAUUGGGAUUUGUCAAGGCUGUCCGUUUAGAGCAUUUCUACCCCCUUUGUCAUGAGAGCGGAUCCGCUGCCCCCAAAUUGGUGUACCCUUCAUGUCCCCUCUUUAAUUUGUUAAUUUGCUGACACAUGUCAACUAACAUAACAGGGAGUUAACUCUGUUAACUUUUUCAUUUGACAAUUUUAAAAAUUAAAAAAAUUAAAAACUAUCCAAAUAACCUAAUAGCCAGCAAGCAUCGUCUAACUUGCAAAACCCAGCGAAUGUCGUCUUCCUUGCUAAACCCAGCAAGCGUCGUCUUCCUUGCAAAAUCCAGCCAUACCCACUCUCCUCCCUCAUAAUCUAUGCAUCUUCUCCACCAUCAACUCUCAAACGCUUGCAAAACCCAAUUCUCCUCCCUUCUAAUAUAGAAAGAGAUGGUUAAUGAUUGCAUAACACAAACCUCUUCCAUGAUGGCUUCAUAGAGAAAAGUAUCCUUGCGCAUUUUCGAUUCCACAGAGUACUUUAACAGUGUGUGAUGACUUCCUAGCUGCUCAAAAACCCAUUUACCUCUAAAUGAGUCAAAGUCCCCUUCAACCUGUUCAAAACUUAUCUCCUGUUCAAGCUGUUCACACAAGUCUAGGACAACACGCGCAUGAAGCACCAUAUAAAGUAAGCCCUUGCAUCCUUCCUGCACAUUACAGGAAAAGUAAGUUUACUUGUGUAUGACUUUUAAGAUGAUUGGCACUCUCACAUCACUUAAGUUAAGAGUAUUACAAUGACAUAUCAGAGAGUGCCUAUUUAUACAGCUACAGCUAUAGAUUGUCCUCUUUAUUAACCAAUAACAUCCAUAAAAUGUACAUUUAGAGAUCAGACACAUUAUAUGAUCCCAAAAUUAAAAAAGACACUUUAUAAAAAGUAUGGUCUUAGAUUACAGUUAAUGGAAAGACUGCUAGUACCAGGAAAGUAUGAGUAUAGUAGUAAGAGAGGUGGUAGUAUUCUUCAUGUAAAGUGUUGUUCCAAAAGUGAAGCAAUUACCAAGAACACUCCAACUCAACGUGCAAUUCUCUACGACAAAUAACGUGUGCGGAAACAUACUAGUUUUGUUAGUUUUCCAAGGUAUUGCAAACAUGUUUGAGCUCCCACAUUGGAGCACAAGAGUUCCUUGGAGGUCUUUAUAAGACUUACUCUUGUAAAUAGAAAAGUUUGUAUUGGCUAUGCAAGUGGCCCAAUUGAGUGGCUUCUGGAUAUAACCUUUGAUUAAAUGCACGGCUAUACUCUUUGUUUUUUUAAUUUAUUUUAAAAAUAAAACUGUGUUGACACGUGGCGACAAAUAGACGGAGGUUUCCUCUUUUUUUAUAUUAAAAAUAGUAUAGCCGCACGGCUAUACUCAUUAUUUUAAAUUCUUUUUAACCGAUCAGUUAUGUUAUUUAGUAUAUAGUAUAGCCGUGCGGCUAGACUCGAUUUUUGUCUAGUUUCUUUUAAAAAUAGUACAGCCGGGAGGUUUUUCUGUUUUUUUUAUAUAAAAAAAUUGUCUUUAAUAAAUAGUAUAGACGAGCGGCGAUGGUCUUUUACAUAUACACACACAUAUAUAUAUAUAUAUAUAUUUACGUACGUACGUAUUUUUUAAUAAUACAUUCGUGUUCUAUACACGUCUCACUUUUUUUAAAAGCAAACAUACAAUAGUCGUAUUGUACUUGUGCGUACGUAUUUGUAAUAUUUUAUACACGUAUUGUUUUCAAAAUUUCCAACAAGACGCACAAAAUUCGCUUAUCAUACAAAUAAUUCUCACAUAUUAAUGAAUAAGAAUAACAUAUGUUAUAAAACUUUCAUAUAGUGGAAGAUUAAUAUCUACUUUGGAUAUGUUGAAACUAGAAAAUUAAUAUUUAAACGGGACAAACUAAUGCAACAAUGCAACAAGGUGGGUCCUUUUUUAUUUUUUUUAUUUUCUUAUUUUUGUAGUAAAGGGAAUUGCCCCUUUUAAACAAAAUUUAUUUUAAAGGUAUAGCCGGGCGGCUAUACUUCGAAUUUUUUUCUUCAGCAGGUAUAGCUAUACUUAUUGUCUGACACGUGGCGCGUUAGCCAAAGAGGGUCAUCCUUUUUUAAAAAAAAUAAUAAAAAUAGUACAGCCGAACGGCUAUACUCCGUGUUUUUUAAUUUAUUUAAAAAUAAAACUGAGUUGACACGUGGCGAAAAAUAGAUGGAGGUCCCCUCUUUUUUUUAUAUUGAAAAUAAUAUAGCCGCGCGGCUAUACUCAUUUUUUUAAAUUCUUUUUAACCGAUCAGUUUUGUAUGGCCGGGCGGCUAUACUUAUUGUUUGACACGUGGCGCGCUAGAGGGUCAUCCUUUUUUAAAAAAAUUAAUAAAAAUAGUACAGCCGCACGGCUAUACUCUUUGUUUUUUAAUUUAUUUUAAAAAUAAAACUGUGUUGACACGUGGCGACAAAUAGACGGAGGUUUCCUCUUUUUUUAUAUUAAAAAUAGUAUAGCCGCGCGGCUAUACUCAUUAUUUUAAAUUCUUUUUAACCGAUCAGUUAUGUUAUUUAGUAUAUAGUAUAGCCGUGCGGCUAGACUCGAUUUUUGUCUAGUUUCUUUUAAAAAUAGUACAGCCGGGAGGUUUUACUGUUUUUUUUAUAUAAAAAAAUUGUCUUUAAUAAAUAGUAUAGACGAGCGGCGAUGGUCUUUUACAUAUACACACACACAUAUAUAUAUAUAUAUAUAUUUACGUACGUACGUAUUUUUUAAUAAUACAUUCGUGUUCUAUACACGUCUCACUUUUUUUAAAAGCAAACAUACAAUAGUCGUAUUGUACUUGUGCGUACGUAUUUGUAAUAUUUUAUACACGUAUUGUUUUCAAAAUUUCCAACAAGACGCACAAAAUUCGCUUAUCAUACAAAUAAUUCUCACAUAUUAAUGAAUAAGAAUAACAUAUGUUAUAAAACUUACAUGAAAAUAUCAUAUAGUGGAAGAUUAAUAUCUACUUUGGAUAUGUUGAAACUAGAAAAUUAAUAUUUAAACGGGACAAACUAAUGCAACAAGGUGGGUCCUUUUUUAUUUUUUUUAUUUUCUUAUUUUUGUAGUAAAGGGAAUUGCCCCUUUUAAACAAAAUUUAUUUUAAAGGUAUAGCCGGGCGGCUAUACUUCGAAUUUUUUUCUUCUACAGGUAUAGCUAUACUUAUUGUCUGACACGUGGCGCGUUAGCCAAAGAGGGUCAUCAUUUUUUAAAAAAAAUAAUAAAAAUAGUACAGCCGAACGGCUAUACUCCGUGUUUUUUAAUUUAUUUAAAAAUAAAACUGAGUUAACACGUGGCGAAAAAUAGAUGGAGGUCCCCUCUUUUUUUAUAUUGAAAAUAAUAUAGCCGCGCGGCUAUACUCAUUUUUUUAAAUUCUUUUUAACCGAUCAGUUUUGUAUGGCCGGGCGGCUAUACUUAUUGUUUGACACGUGGCGCGCUAGAGGGUCAUCCUUUUUUAAAAAAAUUAAUAAAAAUAGUACAGCCGAACGGCUAUACUCUUUGUUUUUUAAUUUAUUUUAAAAAUAAAACUGUGUUGACACGUGGCGACAAAUAGACGGAGGUUUCCUCUUUUUUUAUAUUAAAAAUAGUAUAGCCGCGCGGCCAUACUCAUUAUUUUAAAUUCUUUUUAACCGAUCAGUUAUGUUAUUUAGUAUAUAGUAUAGCCGUGCGGCUAGACUCGAUUUUUGUCUAGUUUCUUUUAAAAAUAGUACAGCCGGGAGGUUUUACUGUUUUUUUUAUAUAAAAAAAUUAUCUUUAAUAAAUAGUAUAGACGAGCGGCGAUGGUCUUUUACAUAUACACACACACAUAUAUAUAUAUAUAUAUUUACGUACGUACGUAUUUUUUAAUAAUAGAUUCGUGUUCUAUACUCAUCUCACUUUUUUUAAAAGCAAACAUACAAUAGUCGUAUUGUACUUGUGCGUACGUAUUUGUAAUAUUUUAUACACGUAUUGUUUUCAAAAUUUCCAACAAGACGCACAAAAUUCGCUUAUCAUACAAAUAAUUCUCACAUAUUAAUGAAUAAGAAUAACAUAUGUUAUAAAACUUACAUGAAAAUAUCAUAUAGUGGAAGAUUAAUAUCUACUUUGGAUAUGUUGAAACUAGAAAAUUAAUAUUUAAACGGGACAAACUAAUGCAACAAGGUGGGUCCUUUUUUAUUUUUUUUAUUUUCUUAUUUUUGUAGUAAAGGGAAUUGCCCCUUUUAAACAAAAUUUAUUUUAAAGGUAUAGCCGGGCGGCUAUACUUCGAAUUUUUUUCUUCUACAGGUAUAGCUAUACUUAUUGUCUGACACGUGGCGCGUUAGCCAAAGAGGGUCAUCAUUUUUUAAAAAAAAUAAUAAAAAUAGUACCGCCGAACGGCUAUACUCCGUGUUUUUUAAUUUAUUUAAAAAUAAAACUGAGUUAACACGUGGCGAAAAAUAGAUGGAGGUCCCCUCUUUUUUUAUAUUGAAAAUAAUAUAGCCGCGCGGCUAUACUCAUUUUUUUAAAUUCUUUUUAACCGAUCAGUUUUGUAUGGCCGGGCGGCUAUACUUAUUGUUUGACACGUGGCGCGCUAGAGGGUCAUCCUUUUUUAAAAAAAUUAAUAAAAAUAGUACAGCCGAACGGCUAUACUCUUUGUUUUUUAAUUUAUUUUAAAAAUAAAACUGUGUUGACACGUGGCGACAAAUAGACGGAGGUUUCCUCUUUUUUUAUAUUAAAAAUAGUAUAGCCGCGCGGCUAUACUCAUUAUUUUAAAUUCUUUUUAACCCGAUCAGUUAUGUUAUUUAGUAUAUAGUAUAGCCGUGCGGCUAGACUCGAUUUUCGUCUAGUUUCUUUUAAAAAUAGUACAGCCGGGAGGUUUUACUGUUUUUUUUAUAUAAAAAAAUUGUCUUUAAUAAAUAGUAUAGACGAGCGGCGAUGGUCUUUUACAUAUACACACACACACAUAUAUAUAUAUAUAUAUUUACGUACGUACGUAUUUUUUAAUAAUACAUUCGUGUUCUAUGCACGUCUCACUUUUUUUAAAAGCAAACAUACAAUAGUCGUAUUGUACUUGUGCCUACGUAUUUGUAAUAUUUUAUACACGUAUUGUUUUCAAAAUUUCCAACAAGACGCACAAAAUUCGUUUAUCAUACAAAUAAUUCUCACAUAUUAAUGAAUAAGAAUAACAUAUGUUAUAAAACUUACAUGAAAAUAUCAUAUAGUGGAAGAUUAAUAUCUACUUUGGAUAUGUUGAAACUAGAAAAUUAAUAUUUAAACGGGACAAACUAAUGCAACAAGGUGGGUCCUUUUUUAUUUUUUUUAUUUUCUUAUUUUUGUAGUAAAGGGAAUUGCCCCUUUUCAACAAAAUUUAUUUUAACGGUAUAGCCGGGCGGCUAUACUUCGAAUUUUUUUCUUCAACAGUUAUAGCCGGGCGGCUAUACUUAUUGUCUGCCACGUGGCGCGUUAGCCAAAGAGGGUCAUCCUUUUUUUAAAAAAAUAAUAAAAAUAGUACAGCCGCACGGCUAUACUCCGUGUUUUUUAAUUUAUUUAAAAAUAAAAUUGAGUUGACACGUGGCGAAAAAUAGAUGGAGGUCCCCUCUUUUUUUUAUAUUGAAAAUAAUAUAGCCGCGCGGCUAUACUCAUUUUUUAAAAUUCUUUUUAACCGAUCAGAUUUGUAUGGCCGGGCGGCUAUACUUAUUGUUUGACACGUGGCGCGCUAGAGGGUCAUCCGUUUUUAAAAAAAUUAAUAAAAAUAGUACAGCCGAACGGCUAUACUCUUUGUUUUUUAAUUUAUUUUAAAAAUAAAACUCUGUUGACACGUGGCGACAAAUAGACGGAGGUUUCCUCUUUUUUUAUAUUAAAAAUAGUAUAGCCGCGCGGCUAUACUCAUUAUUUUAAAUUCUUUUUAACCGAUCAGUUAUGUUAUUUAGUAUAUAGUAUAGCCGUGCGGCUAGACUCGAUUUUUGUCUAGUUUCUUUUAAAAAUAGUACAGCCGGGAGGUUUUACUGUUUUUUUUAUGUAAAAAAAUUGUCUUUAAUAAAUAGUAUAGACGAGCGGCGAUGGUCUUUUACAUAUACACACACACAUAUAUAUAUAUAUAUAUAUAUAUAUAUAUUUACGUACGUACGUAUUUUUUAAUAAUACAUUCGUGUUCUAUACACGUCUCACUUUUUUUAAAAGCAAACAUACAAUAGUCGUAUUGUACUUGUGCGUACGUAUUUGUAAUAUUUUAUACACGUAUUGUUUUCAAAAUUUCCAACAAGACGCACAAAAUUCGCUUAUCAUACAAAUAAUUCUCACAUAUUAAUGAAUAAGAAUAACAUAUGUUAUAAAACUUACAUGUAAAUAUCAUAUAGUGGAAGAUUAAUAUCUACUUUGGAUAUGUUGAAACUAGAAAAUUAAUAUUUAAACGGGACAAACUAAUGCAACAAGGUGGGUCCUUUUUUAUUUUUUUUAUUUUCUUAUUUUCUUAUUUUUGUAGUAAAGGGAAUUGCCCCUUUUAAACAAAAUUUAUUUUAAAGGUAUAGCCGGGCGGCUAUACUUCGAAUUUUUUUCUUCAACAAGUAUAGCUAUACUUAUUGUCUGACACGUGGCGCGUUAGCCAAAGAGGGUCAUCCUUUUUUAAAAAAAAUAAUAAAAAUAGUACAGCCGAACGGCUAUACUCCGUGUUUUUUAAUUUAUUUAAAAAUAAAACUGAGUUGACACGUGGCGAAAAAUAGAUGGAGGUCCCCUCUUUUUUUUAUAUUGAAAAUAAUAUAGCCGCGCGGCUAUACUCAUUUUUUUAAAUUCUUUUUAACCGAUCAGUUUUGUAUGGCCGGGCGGCUAUACUUAUUGUUUGACACGUGGCGCGCUAGAGGGUCAUCCUUUUUUAAAAAAAUUAAUAAAAAUAGUACAGCCGAACGGCUAUACUCUUUGUUUUUUAAUUUAUUUUAAAAAUAAAACUGUGUUGACACGUGGCGACAAAUAGACGGAGGUUCCCUCUUUUUUUAUAUUAAAAAUAGUAUAGCCGCUUGGCUAUACUCCUUAUUUUAAAUUCUUUUUAACCGAUCAGUUAUGUUAUUUAGUAUAUAGUAUAGCCGUGCGGCUAGACUCGAUUUUUGUCUAGUUUCUUUUAAAAAUAGUACAGCCGGGAGGUUUUACUGUUUUUUUUAUAUAAAAAAAUUAUCUUUAAUAAAUAGUAUAGACGAGCGGCGAUGGUCUUUUACAUAUACACACACACAUAUAUAUAUAUAUAUAUUUACGUACGUACGUAUUUUUUAAUAAUAGAUUCGUGUUCUAUACUCAUCUCACUUUUUUUAAAAGCAAACAUACAAUAGUCGUAUUGUACUUGUGCGUACGUAUUUGUAAUAUUUUAUACACGUAUUGUUUUCAAAAUUUCCAACAAGACGCACAAAAUUCGCUUAUCAUACAAAUAAUUCUCACAUAUUAAUGAAUAAGAAUAACAUAUGUUAUAAAACUUACAUGAAAAUAUCAUAUAGUGGAAGAUUAAUAUCUACUUUGGAUAUGUUGAAACUAGAAAAUUAAUAUUUAAACGGGACAAACUAAUGCAACAAGGUGGGUCCUUUUUUAUUUUUUUUAUUUUCUUAUUUUUGUAGUAAAGGGAAUUGCCCCUUUUAAACAAAAUUUAUUUUAAAGGUAUAGCCGGGCGGCUAUACUUCGAAUUUUUUUCUUCUACAGGUAUAGCUAUACUUAUUGUCUGACACGUGGCGCGUUAGCCAAAGAGGGUCAUCAUUUUUUAAAAAAAAUAAUAAAAAUAGUACAGCCGCACGGCUAUACUCCGUGUUUUUUAAUUUAUUUAAAAAUAAAACUGAGUUGACACGUGGCGAAAAAUAGAUGGAGGUCCCCUCUUUUUUUUAUAUUGAAAAUAAUAUAGGCGCGCGGCUAUACUCAUUUUUUUAAAUUCUUUUUAACCGAUCAGUUUUGUAUGGCCGGGCGGCUAUACUUAUUGUUUGACACGUGGCGCGCUAGAGGGUCAUCCUUUUUUAAAAAAAUUAAUAAAAAUAGUACAGCCGAACGGCUAUACUCUUUGUUUUUUAAUUUAUUUUAAAAAUAAAACUCUGUUGACACGUGGCGACAAAUAGACGGAGGUUUCCUCUUUUUUUAUAUUAAAAAUAGUAUAGCCGCGCGGCUAUACUCAUUAUUUUAAAUUCUUUUUAACCGAUCAGUUAUGUUAUUUAGUAUAUAGUAUAGCCGUGCGGCUAGACUCGAUUUUUGUCUAGUUUCUUUUAAAAAUAGUACAGCCGGGAGGUUUUACUGUUUUUUUUAUAUAAAAACAUUGUCUUUAAUAAAUAGUAUAGACGAGCGGCGAUGGUCUUUUACAUAUACACACACACACAUAUAUAUAUAUAUAUAUAUUUACGUACGUACGUAUUUUUUAAUAAUAGAUUCGUGUUCUAUACACGUCUCACUUUUUUUAAAAGCAAACAUACAAUAGUCGUAUUGUACUUGUGCGUACGUAUUUUUAAUAUUUUAUACACGUAUUGUUUUCAAAAUUUCCAACAAUACGCACAAAAUUCGCUUAUCAUACAAAUAAUUCUCAUAUAUUAAUGAAUAAGAAUAACAUAUGUUAUAAAACUUACAUGAAAAUAUCAUAUAGUGGAAGAUUAAUAUCUACUUUGGAUAUGUUGAAACUAGAAAAUUAAUAUUUAAACGGGACAAACUAAUGCAACAAGGUGGGUCCUUUUUUAUUUUUUUUAUUUUCUUAUUUUUGUAGUAAAGGGAAUUGCCCCUUUUAAACAAAAUUUAUUUUAAAGGUAUAGCCGGGCGGCUAUACUUCGAAUUUUUUUCUUCAACAGGUAUAGCUAUACUUAUUGUCUGACACGUGGCGCGUUAGCCAAAGAGGGUCAUCCUUUUUUAAAAAAAUUAAUAAAAAUAGUACAGCCGAACGGCUCUACCCCGUGUUUUUUAAUUUAUUUUAAAAAUAAAACUGUGUUGACACGUGGCGAAAAAUAGAUGGAGGUUUCCUCUUUUUUUAUAUCAAAAAUAGUAUAGCCGCAAGGCUAUACGCAUUAUUUUAAAUUCUUUUUAAUCGAUCAGUUAUGUUAUUUAGUAUAUAGUAUAGCCGUGCGGCUAUACGCGAUUUUUGUCUAAUUUCUUUUAAAAAUAGUACAGCCGGGAGGUUUUACUGUUUUUUUUAUAUAAAAAAAUUGUCUUUAAUAAAUAGUAUAGACGAGCGGCGAUGGUCUUUUACAUAUACACACGCGUAUAUAUAUAUAUAUAUUUACGUACGUACGUAUUUUUUAAUAAUACAUUCGUGUUCUAUACACGUCUCACUUUUUUUAAAAGCAAACAUAUAAUAGUCGUAUCUACUUGUACGUACGUAUUUGUAAUGUUUUAUACACGUAUUAUUUUUUAAAUUUUCAACAAUACGCACAAAAUUCGCUUAUCAUACAAAUAAUUCUCACAUAUUAUUUAAUAAGAAUAACAUAUGUUAUAAAAAUUACAUGAAAAUAUCAUAUAGUGGAAGAUUAAUAUCUACUUUGGAUAUGUUGAAACUAUAAAAUUAAUAUUUAUAUGGGACAAACUAAUGCAACAAGGUGGGUCCUUUUUUAUUUUUGUAUUUUUGUUUUUAAGGGAAUAGCCCCUUUUAAACAAAAUGUAUUUAAACAGUAUAGCCGGGCGGCUAUACUACUAAUUUGUUUUAUUAAAAAGGUAUAGUCGGGCGGCUAUACGUAUUUUUGACACGUGGCGCAUUAGCAAAAGCGGGUCAUCAUUUUAAAAAAAGAAAUAGUACAGCCACACGGCUAUAUUCCGUGUUUUUACUUUAUUUAAAAAAUAAAACUGUGUUGACACGUGGCGACAAAUAGAUGGGGUUUCGUCUUUUUUUAUAUUAAAAAUAGUAUAGCCGCACAGCUAUACUCAUUUUUAAAAAUUCUUUUGAGAUGCUAUGUUUUAUUAUUUAUUAAAUAGUAUAGCCUUUUUGUCUAAUUUCUUUUAAAAAUAGUAUAGCCAGAUGUUUUACUUUUUUUUUAAAAAAAAAUUGUCUUUAAUAAAUAGUAUAUCAAGGAAGAUGACGUUCGCUGAGUUUUGCAAGGAAGACGACACUCGCUAGUUGCUGGGUUAUUUGGACAGUUUUUAAUUUUUUUAAUUUUGAAAGUUGUCAAAUAAAAAAAGUUAACAGAGUUAACUCCAUGUUAUGUUUUUUGACACGUGUCAGCAAAUUAGAGAGGGGACAUGGAGGGGACACCAAUUUGAGGACAGCAGAUCAGCUCCCCUUUGUCAUGGUAGUGAUACUUCUUGUAAAAGUCAAGUUGUGUUUUCACUCAUUCCCAUGACAAAGGGCAAUUACUUUUUACUUUAAAUUUUGUUUUAUUUUUUAUACUUAAACAAAUAAUUUGGAUAAGAUUUUUAAUUGUUAUGUGUUCAUAUUUAUUAUAAAAUUCACAUCUCAAAUUUCAUCGGUUGUCAUGUGUCGAUCGUCGUCUUGGUAUAGCAUGUCGAGAAAAAAGAGGCGUAUAGGGUCACCAAUUUAUUAUAAGAUUUAAAUUUCAUAUUUCUUAUAAAAUUUUCACUCUUUAAAAUUGCACCCCGUGUCAUCUCUAUCUUCUAAAUCCCUCUAUAAAACCACAGCUUCAACUCAUACCUCUCACACCAUAUCAUCUAUAUCCUUUCAUUUCUCAUAUUUUAGAAAACACAUUUUACUCUCAAUGUCUUACAUGAGGAGGUUGUUGGAAAGGCAAGAGCGAGAAAAUGAAGAAAAAAUGAGCAAACAAGCUGAAGAAGAAAGGGAGUGGGAAGAAAAUGAUGAUCAAGUUGCCAUGCCAGUGGGUAUGCUCCAUCAAUCAAGCCAACACAACCGUGGUUCACAACGUGGUCGUGGCCCGAACGUGGACAUACAUAGACACUCUCGGGGUAAGAAUCUUUUGGAAGAUUACUUUAUCCCAAAUUCGUUGUACACUAAUUUAGAUUUUUGAGGGCGAUAUAGAAUGCAGCUUCAUUUGUACUGGGUUUUGGGUCUUCUUCCGGAGCAAAAACUUACAGCUUCUUUAUGGAUGCUGGCGUUUGGCGCAUUUGCAAACAAGGUGGAUGAGAUUGCUAGGAUGAGAAAAUCCACUAUUCUAGAAAGUUUGGUCAGACUCUAUGAUGCAAUUGAAACUCUCUACACGAUGGAUUACCUCCACAAACCUACACCUACGGACCUCCAAAGGCUUCUAUAAAAAGCCAAGGGUCAAGUUUCCCAAGCAUGAUUGGAAGCAUCAACUGUAUAUAUUGGCAGUGGAAGAAUUGCCCAACUGUCUGACAAGGAGAUUAUGGGAAUUGGAAGGACAAAAAAAGUAUCAUUCUGGAAGCUAUUGCAUCAUUCGAUACCUAGAUUUGGCAUGCUUUUUUUGAAGUUGCGGGAUUUCAAAACGGCCUUAAUAUGCUCGGUCAAUACCCGGUGUUCAAUGAUGUGUUGAGAAGUCAAGCCCUUCAGAUCAUGUAUGAAAUCAACAAUAUCGUCUACUCAUGUGGGUAUUACCUAGCAGACAGAAUUUACCUGCGGUGGACGACAUUCGUCAAAACAAUUCUACAUCCCCAAUCGGAUAAGGAAAAAUACUUUGUUGCCUAUCAAGAGUAUAAGAAAGAUGUAAAAAAGUGUUUUGGUAUCCUCCAAACUCGAUGGGUAAUCAUUAGGAGGGCUGCUCGUAUGUUUGAUGAAGAGGUGCUUUAUAGCAUUAUGAUGACAUGCAUCAUCCUCUAUAACAUGAUUGUGAGGAUGAGUAUGAUUAUGAUGAACCCGAGAUGUUCGAACCCGAUCAUAUGAACACGGCAUUAACAAGAAUUUAUGAACGGCCCGUGCGAGCAAAUGGACAAUCACUGGAGCACGAACCGUUAAUUAGAUAUGGUUGUUACAACAACUGUGUGAUUGACCGUUAUACGAAAAUGCAAUCUUCUUAUAUUCAUGAAAGACGUCAAGUUAACUUGAUGGAGCACUUAUGGGUGCUGAGAGACAAUCACAGUCAAUGAAGUCAAGGUUAAUGUUUAAUUUUGAAUUAGCUUUGUUACUGUUGUUUUUUUUUUUGAAUUAUACUUUGUUUGUGUUUUGUAAUGAAUUGUGUUUUGUUUGUGUUUUUAAUGAAUUAUGCUUUGUUUUUAUGUAUGCAAUGUUUUAAAUAAAUAGCUAUAUUAUUGAAUGCUUUCUUUAUUCAAUAAUAUACAAGCAAUACAACUAAUUAAGAAAUACAACUAAUUGAGAGAGGAGCUUAUCAAAAGGUUUUGGGUCGCUCUUUCAUUCACGCGAGGAGAGCCUUGACGGCUAGGGUUAGGGUUUCUCCCAUUUUCUUUACUCAUUCUCUGCGUCGUCUCUCUCAAUCUUCUCUGAUUGUCUCUUGUGGUUCUUCUUGGUGAAUUGGGUAUGACCUUUUUUUUUUGUUGCUCUAUUGUUCUCCAUGGAGUGGCUGCGUUGACUUCCUUUCUGGUUUCCCAAAGAGCCUGUCGCUAGUGAAGGGUCUUCAUCUUAACGUUAUAGAGAUAGCCAUCGCCUCUUUUGCUUAAGAGGAUGACAAGUAUGCGACACCAAAAGGGAAUCAAAAGCCUGCAAAAACUGGUGUUCGGCAUCUGAUUGUUAGUGGCACGAAUUUUUCUUGUAACCAUAGUUUUUGUAUCGAGGAUUUUGUUGACAAGGCGAAGGAGACCAGCCUCGAGGGGUCUCCAAGAUCUCCAUAAUAAUUCUCUUAUGGAACGUUCGUGGGCUUGGCAACCGAUGAACAUUCCUACUAUGAAGAUCUUUCUUCGGAAUUUUCUUCAGGCUAAGAGGCCAAUCUUGGUCGCCCUUGCUUGUCAGCUGGGGUUCUGGAUCAAGAAAAUUGGAGGUGGCGGUUGGUGUUUGGUUAGAUCUGUUAUGAUGCUCACAAUACGUUCUUGACUCUGUAUGAAGAACUACGAUACUUUCUUUAGAUCAUAGAAGGCUUUCUUUGAUAAUAUCUAUGUAGUGAUGGGAUGUGUUUCAAUAACUUUGCGGUUGGGUGAUUGGCUGUAUAUAUUUUGAUACCCAUAGUACGUUUUUGACUUUGUACUAAGAACUAUAAUGCUUUUUCUAGAUCAUAGGUGGACUUCUUUGACAGUACCUACGUAGUGAUGGGAUGUUGUUUUAAGGGUUUUGUGGUUGGGGUUUAGGUUGGUUUGUUUCAUAUAAGUUGUUUGACUCUUCUGUUUAGUCAAUAGCAUGGGUGGUACUCUUUCCUACCCUAAGGCCCUCUCCUGCUCGAGUUGACCUGUAACGCUGGAAGUGCUCUUAGUCACUUGGAAUAUGAUCCGUGAACUAAGAAAGUAUAUGGCAUUUUCUUGGACAAAGAUGGCUUGACUAAACGGGUGAAGGGACAUUAGUGGCUCAAUUCAUGCCUAAUUCUAUACACCAUGAUUAGAUUGUUACAUAAGAACGACUAAAUGGGCAUUUUUACAGUCUUUAUACGUAACAGUUUCAUGUUUGAUAAUACUUUGAGUCAUUCUUUUUUACAAAUAAAUCACAAUUUCAUGUGUAACAUAUUUGGUCCGUAAAAAGUAUUUUAUGCAUAUUUGAGAUUAAAUAAAUCUAAAAGGUUAUUAUUUGGUACCGUAAAAACACAACUUUUUAUAGUGAAUAUUUUGUCUAAUAUAGAAUAAAUUAUGAAAUUCCUAAAAGUCCUUCAAUAAUGCAAUGAAAGAGAUGCCCGGUCAUAAAUAAGCAUCAAUGGUUUUGUUGGGACCUCAUUUAUUGGCGAGACUUGUGAGGAUUUAGUCAUGAAGAAAAUGAUGUCCACGCGAAAUUGCCAUAGAAAACAUGUAUAAACUACGCUUCAAACGUUUUCCUUUGGAUUUGAUUUAAUCCAAGUCAUGCAUGACACGCCGCACGCAUCCGAAAAUUCUUUAUUCAACUGAGAGCUAGCUUUGAAUAUAUUUCUUGUCUCAUAGCUUGAACAGCACAACGAUUCUUCUGGACCUGAAAAGCUUAUGCCAUCUCUUUUGAGGCUAACAAACAAAAAGAAUAACUUACCCAUAGACUAGUUCCCCCAACUAUGUUACACUAUGAAUUAUGGGAAAACAUAAAAGAGAAAAAGAACACAAAACAAAAGCUAUAUAGACAAAUGAAGUGACAUAUUAGAGAGGAAAAUGUGCAAGAUCUUUAAUUAGUUUACUUUACAAAUCCUUAGAUUUUCUUUUCCAUUCUUACACAUAUAUUUAAAUUAUAUAAACCACUACAACAGCGGGAUUCGAACUUAAGAGCACUUUCACUCAAUUAUGACAAGUAAAUGCAAACUACUAUUCACGUGAAUAGUGACUGCCCUAGCAAUUUUUUUGAUGCAUUUCCACCCAUUGCCAUGACAACCCAAGAGCAACUACUAUUUACAUGAGAUAUGAGGAGAUGAAUUUAUAUGAAUUUUGGUUUGGUUUUUUUAAUCAAUUCUUUUAGUAUUUAAAUUGGUCUCUGACUUUAUGUUGACGUUAGCAUGACAUCAACUUGCCCAUACAAGUCUUGCGCUUCGGACUUGUCUAGUUUCAUAGGCCACUUCUUAUCAUGGCAACUUGUCCUUUGUAGGGUUUGUUUUUAAAGCCUAAAAGCAAAAAGGAAAAAGUGGAAGUGCUCGAAGUGCAAAUAGAUUCACUGUCCUAGUAAACAAGCAUAACUUACCUCUGCGACAAAGAAAAUUCUAUAUGCUUAUUUUGGUAUGUAAUAUUUUUGCUUUCAAUUAAAACCAAACCACAAUGAGAAAUGCGAGUGGGUCGGCACAGACCAAAUAUGGUGGUGCAAUGUAACUUGUCCGUCGGAGAAAAGAACAGAAAAAUGAAAUUGGCGUUUGACAUGUGUAGGACCACAAGUAUCGUCAUUUGUCACGUUCCUUAUGUAUAGGGGAAUAAAUAAAAUAAGAAACCGCCAAGAAAAUUUCUAAUAGUUAUUAAUCUUUUAAAUGACUUUUUCAAAAAUAAAAUUAAAAAAACAAAAACAAAAAGCUGGUACUCCAUUAGAUAAUUUCUGAUUGGUUGAAUUUCAACCUUCAAUUUGGAAUAAAUAAUUUAGAAAAAGGUUCAAUACAAUUUAUUUUAAGCAAUUGAAUAUAAUGCCUAACUUUUUUUUUUUUGAGGAUCUUUUUUGUUGAAGGGAGCGAUAUAAUAUACUAAAUUUACACACACAACAUAACAAGGAUGCUAGGACUCGAACCCAGAACUUUGCAUGGGAAAAUAAUUACUCCAAACUACUACACUAGUAAUUGAAUACAAUGCCUACAUUCAUUUUAAGUGACGCAUACAAAUAUUAUUAAAUUAUAUAUAUACUAGUCUCUCCGCACGCGCUUCCGCGCUUGUAAGAGGCUUUUUUAAAAAAAUAAAUAAAUUUAUUUUAGAAUUAAAAAUAAUAAGGGAGACUUUGGAAAAGCCCAAAGGAGAGAGAAAAUUUUUAAAAGUGAAAGUUUUUUUAUGGGUAAAACCUAAAUUUACUAAAUAAUAAUGAGUAGUUGUGUUCCAUAAAAAUAAGAUCCAUUAUUUGCUUUUUCUUUUUCUUUUAAUUUUUUUAAAUAUGAAAAAGUGUGAAUUUACCAUAUUAUCCUUAUUUAAUUAAUAAUUUGAAUUCUUAAUGUUUGCAUUAACCAAGGGCAUUUUCUGGUAUUUUGAAUGUUUCACCAUUCUCUGCAUUUUGCUUUAUAUAUAUAGAUAAAUUAAAUCAUUUGAAAAUGAGUGCAUUUUUUUUCUUUCCACUUCUAAAACAAAUCUAAAAGUUUAUGUUUUUUUUUUUCUUCUCCCAAUGGCUUCAUUGUAUGACUUAUUUUUGGACGGUACCAAUAAUUUAGGGUAUUAUAUAUAUAUAUAUAUAUGCCAAUCCAAUCAUAUAAAGGUGUGAGCCCCAUGACUUCCAUUUCCACCUACCAUUUGCAACAUCUUUCCAAGCAACUGGCAUAUGAUCUCAUGAUUUUGAUCUGAUUUCAUAUUAUUAUGUCAAUUGGGCAGGUGGCUGGCCGAGUACACGCAAAAGACAUGUUCUUUUCUUUCUAGGUUUUGAUUAUUCUUCGGAUCCUUCUUCUACAUCUUAAACACACACAACAAUUUUCCCAUUAUUUUUCCCCCUCUUUCUCUCAAUAUACUAACAUUUUGGGAAGGAAAACGAUCAUGUCAUGGAUAUGUUUAUAAUAAGUGCUUCCAUCACAACUGUUCAUCUUGUUAUGGUCAAGAUCUGAUCUUGUUAAUAACUGUUGCUUAAUGUAUUAAGUUGUGUCGGCAUCGAAAAAUUAUUUUAUCUUAUUGCAAAAUUGUCAUGUGAUGUUAAUAAUUCACGUAUUAUAAUAUUAAUAUAUUUAUUUUUAUCUAUUUUUAUUAUAAUAUGAACUAAUUGAUAACACUACGCAACAAUAUUACAAUAACACUACAAAUAGGAAAAAGUUAAGAUGCUUUCUAUUGAGCCAUAUGAGCCCAGCGGCUACCAUUAUUGAUACUAUAAAGAGGAAGUCAAUUCAUAAUUUAAAGUAGAUAGGUAACCCGUCAAUUCUAUAGUGUGUCAUAUUUUUAAGCAGUGACAAAAAUCAUAGCCACGUAAGGGCAGUCAAAACAUAUAGACCACCAAUUUCAACCAUCUUAGCUCAACACCUUUUAUAAAUGCAUUAAAUUAUCAGUAGUUUAAGAAAAAAACUUUUAUAAAACGAAGAUAGCAUUAUUUUAUUAUUCUUAAUCAAUUAAAAAAUGUUAUGUGAAAAAGUUAUCAUAUGUGACAUACCGUGUUGUAUUGAAUCAACAUCCAUUUCUCUCAUACUUUAUUUUUUCUUUUUUAAGUUCAUAUAUUCAUAAAUGAAAAAUAAAAACAUCACAAUAAUGUGUCAGAUAAAAACAAAAAAACAAAAAAGUAGAGGGUCCAUGUUCACAUGAUUGUCGUGAAGCAACUACACACCUAACACAUAUUUACUUUAAUAAAAAUGCUUAGUUGUAAUACUUUUUCUCGUAAUAUAUAGUUUAAAUUGUGGUAUAAAAUUAAAGCUUAGAGGCCCGUGGUGGCUUCAGAAUGCAUGGGAGGCUUUUCUGGGUGAGAAAGAUGGUAUGAGAAAAUGGACCCCCCUCCCGAUGGAAAUUGAGAAACCAAAAAAAUGUGGCUAAUAAUAGCAAGGGAGGCUGAAAAGGUAAUAGAAUUAUGGCCGUCACGUCCCCCUUAUCCAUACACGCAUACAUCAGUGGUAAUCCAAACACCUAGGAUGUUUAUAUUUUAUUCAAAUAUUAUAACCUAAAAUUUGAGUAAUCUAUACUGAUUUAUGUUUUGACUAUGAUGUAUUAUGUAUAUAUAUAUAUAUAUACUAGGAUUAAUUUGAUCUUAAUUAAAUAAUAACAACACAACAAAGUUGGGGUAACGAGAUAAAUUUAGAUUCGAACUAAAACAUAACAUGUGUUAAGAAAUCCGAAUCGUAGAUGAAAAGGAAGUUUACUUUUUAAAAGAUAAAGCCGAUUAUCGAAAAAAUCGUGGAAUUCCCAGUGAGAGUCAAGCUUUGUUUUUAUGGGGAUGUAAACAACUUGUUUUAACCACGGUCAACCCUAAUUACAGUUCAACCCACCCAACCCUCUUCUGUCUUCUCCUAUACAUGUAUGCACAUGUGUUAUUAGUAUAUACAUUAAGUGGAGUUGAAUGGAUUGAUUCAAUAAUUAGAAACACAAGGUGGGUUUUUAACUCAUUAUCUUUGCAUAUAUAUAUAUAUAUAUAGAGAGAGAGAGAGAGAGAGAGAGAGAGAGAGAGAGAGGUUUCAAGAAAGAGAGAGAAGGCGUGGCCUAGAAAUAAAAGGGAGCUCAUUUAUUUGAUUCCAAAUUCCCAAGUGCGUCUCUGUUUCACCCAGUUGGACUUGGACUUUUUGUUUUUGUUAUAGUUUUUAUAGCAUUUGCGUUACGUUUCGAAUCGUUGAUACUUUCUCAAUUCAAACGUUUCAAUCCAAGAGCCCAUCAUUUCUAUAUAUAAAAACAGAAAAUUAAGAAGCAGCAGCAAGUGGUCUUCUUCUUCUUCCUUCACGGAAACCAGAGCAAACGUGUCAUUACAUGGUGAUCGUAAGAAAAGGUGCAGAGGAGGAGGUGGACAAGAAGAAGAACGCGACUAAUUGCAGUAACAAGGGAAUGCGACUCGGAAAAUACGAGCUUGGAAGGACUCUUGGCGAGGGCAAUUUCGGCAAAGUUAAAUUUGCUAAGAACGUCGACUCUGGACAACCCUUUGCUGUUAAGAUCCUCGAGAAAACCAGAAUCAUUGAUCUCAAGAUCACAGACCAGGUCAGUCUUUUUGCUCAAAGUUUCAAUCUUUCAUUGAUGGGUUCUGUUUUUCUCUUUCAAACAUUCAUUAUUGUUCAAUUUUUUCCUCAAAGUUUUAAUCUUUCAUUAAUGGGUGUUCUGGGCAGUGUUCAAUCGAAACUGAAAUUGACAUUCAUGAAUUUUUUAAAAUUAUCUGAGUUUUGGACGUUUUGUUUUGUUUUGAACAACACAAUAACACAAUUUUAGAAGAAAAAAAAAUUGCAGAUAAAGAGGGAGAUUGGCACUUUGAAGCUCCUGAAACAUCCCAACGUUGUCAGAUUACACGAGGUAUGCAUUGCUUCUCUGCUUCCAGAGCUCUGUUAUUAACAGAGUUUUUGUUUGUCCAUUACUGUCUAAUCCAUGAAUCAUGACCCCUAAUUAUCACUAUAAUUACCAUAAUCUCUUCCCACUAAUGUCUAAUAAUGACAACAACCCCAUUUAGCUGUGUUUUUUUUUUGUUUGUUUUUGUUUUGUUUUGUUUUGGGAUUGGUGCUAGCAAGCACAGUUGUUUUUUACUGUGGUAACUUUUCUAAUUUUUACUUGGCUAAUCACUUCAAUAACGCGUCACAUGACACAUAAUAACCCCAUUUUGCUUAUCGUUUCCUCAAAUAAAGGUAGCAUAUAACAAAAACACUUUCUAGAUUUUCGUUUACCGUUCUAUUCUACGUGAUCUGUUGAAUCUGAACCACACAUUCGAACACAAUAUUUAUGAUAUAUUAAAUCCAAAUCACACUAUUCAAACGCGAUCUUUACAUUUAUAUUGCAAUGAGAAAUAUCUUAACUUUGUUUCAUUUGUUCAUGCCGCUGUUUGCACGGAUUGCUUUGUUCACGAGGUCUCCACCCGGGAUGAUUUGAUCAAUCACCCUAAUAUACUUUUACCCUCAUAAAAAAAAAUUGGUUGGUCCUGGAAAAAAAGAAAGAAAAAAAAAAAAUUUGUUGGUUAUUGAGAUAUUUUCUUGUGUAUAUGAUUCUGUUAAGGGGAUCCAUCAACCAGCCCAACCUAGCCACGUGUAUAUAGUAAUGGUAUAUAUACCUCUCUCUGCUGCAGUUUGCAUGGACUGAGUGACCUGACCUCACUUCAACAAGCAUAUUUUCAGAAUGGGCCCACCCAUGAAACCAUUUUGGUGGAUAAGACUAAGAUCAUUAAUAUGGUCUUAAUUGUGGUCACCAAGGGAGGGCCAUGCCUUGUCAAUUGUCCCUUAAAAUGAAAAUGAUUGCUUCAAGUUGCGUGUGGUAUAUUCAUUAAUCACCUUAAUUAAUUUUAGCAUCCAUUAGGGUUUCCUUAAAUAGAAUCAUAGGAUGAAUUAGUCAUAUAGACAGAAAUAUAUAAUAUAUUUAGAAAAAAAAAAAAAAAGUUUUAAUAAGAAAGAAGAAUGGAAAAUGAUAAUUUUGGAUAAGGAUGGUGAUGACGACUAUGAAUUAUAUAUGUGGAGUUUUAGAAUAUGGGUUUUGUUGAUGCAGAGAACUGGUCUUGGUUUGCCUUUCUACAAAGGUGGAUGGAACACAUUUUGAUUUGAUUAAGUAAAUGCAUUUGAACUCAAUUCGAUGUGUCCCCUUGGUCAACAAAUGUCAUCAAGUUUGUUUGGUAUUCAACAAAACAGUAGCUUGUAAAUAAUAUUAAGGGUGUCAUUGAUAAAAAAUAAAUAAAUAAAUAAAUCACAUCCCAACCAUUAGCAUAAUUAGCGCUGUCAUCAGUUCGAUCUUUGAUCUAUUUAUAAUGCUGUAAACUGUAAACUAGAUUUUUUUCUCUCUGUGUUCUCAUCAUUGGUAUUAGGACUUUCAAUGCCAUGGCCAACAAUGCUUUGUAUUAAUCCUGCUGAUUAUGUUUAUCUUGCAGGUUGUGGCAAGCAAAACCAAGAUUUACAUGGUCCUAGAAUAUGUUACUGGAGGAGAAUUGUUUGACAAAAUUGUAAGGAGCUCUUACUCUAAUGCACAGCUUUUUGUAUCACAAGGCAGGAAGUUGAAUAGUUGAUGAUACUAAUAAGUUACUCUGUGUUUCAGGCACACAAGGGAAAACUUGCAGAAGCCGAAGGCAGGAAGCUCUUCCAACAGUUGAUUGAUGGUGUGAGCUACUGCCACAACAAAGGCGUUUUCCAUCGGGACCUGAAGGUACUUCCUUUCUUUUUAAGAAAAACUUAGUGAAACUAAGGACUCAGGAAAAAGCUGCAGAUGGUUUUCAAUUUGCUCACUCUUUCUUGCAUGACAAGUUUUGUAUGUUUUUGGUUGCAGUUGGAAAAUGUUCUUGUUGAUGCCAAGGGGAACAUAAAAAUAUCAGACUUUGGCCUCAGUGCUUUGCCCCAGCAUUUUAGGGUACAUUACUCUUCCAAACCAAACUUUUUAAAGUGGUAAGUUUGGUGUCUAAUAACUUAACCCUUUAAUUCUGUCUGAUAUAUCAGGAAGAUGGGUUGCUUCAUACAACCUGUGGAAGCCCCAACUAUGUUGCUCCUGAGAUUCUUGCUAAUAAAGGGUAUGAUGGUGCCACCUCUGAUAUAUGGUCAUGUGGUGUCAUCUUAUAUGUCAUUCUUACAGGAUUUCUCCCUUUCGAUGAUAGAAAUCUUGCAGUUCUCUAUCAAAAGGUAUUGACAACAACUCUCUUUGAUUUUCUUGUGUUUGUUAUAUGGCUUUAGGAAUGAAGAAUUUUUAUUAUUAUUUGCAUUUCCUUCACUUUGAUGCUAACAUUUUUAGAGGGAUUUCAGAUCUUGAAGGGGGAAGUUCAGAUACCCACAUGGCUAUCACCUGGUGCAAAGAACUUGAUAAAAAAGAUUCUUGAUCCCAACCCUGUUUCCAGAAUAACAAUGACAGGCAUCAAGUCAGAUGAAUGGUUCAAGCAGGAUUACUCUCCUGCGAAUCCUGAUGAUGAAGAAGAAGAUAUAAACGUUGAUGAUGAAGCUUUCUCAAUAAAUGAAGUGGUAUGAAUAUGCAAUUCAUGUCCAUUCCCUACCUUUUUUUUGGUACAUCUUUCAAUUUCUUCUAUGCUAACUGAGAACCGUUUCUUUUACCUUUUGGUAUAGCCAUCUGAGGGGGAGAGGAGUCCAGACGCCCGGCACUCGCACACCCAUAUAAAUGCCUUUCAGUUGAUUGGAAUGUCCUCGUGUCUAGACCUCUCCGGCUUCUUUGAGAAAGAGGUUAGGGUAAAAGCUUACUUUGUAAAACGAUUUUUGUCUUCUUUGUUUGGCAUUGAGUAUUUCAUUAUCUAUUACUGAAGUUGAAAGCUCUUUCUGAUUGUGGGUUAAUUUAGGAUGUGUCUGAGAGGAAGAUCAGAUUUACAUCCAACCACUCUGAAAAAGAUUUGCUUGAAAAGAUUGAAGAAAUUGUACUAGAGAUGGGAUAUUGUGUCCAGAAGAAAAAUGGAAGGGUUAGUAGCUUUAUAUCCUCAUUUUCUACUCACGUCCAGAAAUAUUAAAGUUGCAAUGAUAACUGGUAUAAUUUACGUUUCCUUCGUCAAUGCAAUAUCGACUGAAAUAUGGUUUCGUUUAUGCCCAACAUUUCAGUUAAAAGUGAUGCAAGAGCACAAAGGGGAGAGAAGUAUGGGUAGUCUAUCAGUUGCAGCAGAGGUAUGUCAUUUCAAACUCUUGGAGGGUUUUCUUCCUGACAAAACAUUUGUGCCUGGCAUGCAUUUUAAUUAAUUUCUAACCACAUAAAAUUUUUCUUUCAAUGUUUAAUCCUUCCUCUCUGACAAUUUUAUGACUUGAAUUUUAACUGAUAGUUGUCUCCAUAAUUGCAUCAGGUGUUUGAGAUAAGCCCAUCUUUAUUUGUUGUUGAAAUAAGAAAGUCAUAUGGUGAUGCUUCUGCAUAUAGAAAGGUAUAUAUUCUUCUGAAUGGUGCCCCCUUCUCUCUCUUAUUUCAGGAAUUAAAAUCAAUUUCUUUUGCUAUGUGCAGUUGUGUGAAAAGCUAUCACAUGAUUUAGGUGUUCCCGCAAGCCAAGGGUUGUUGACUAGCCAAGUGUGAAAACCAUGUUCUUUGCAAAGUCAAACAACAGGGUAUUUAAAGCCUUGGAGAGAUGUAGAUAGUAUAGAAAUCCUAUAUUACGAUUUAUGUAAAUUUUCAGUUUUGGAUGUAUGUUAGUGUUAGUAUGUAAGACUCGAGUAAAUGUGAAACAUAUUUUGAUUGCAAGAAGAUAUCCUUGUGAAGAAGUCACCAGGACCAUUUGUGUUUAUCGUCUCCUGAAUCAAUUGAUACUUUAUUUUUUCAUCUACGGGGAACGGGAGAUUCGAACUUAGAACAUCUUCCAACAUUAGAAAGACAAAAACCACUAGAUAAAUAGUCCCAGUUAUUUCGUAUUUGUAAGGAAAAAACUUAAAAGCUAACACAAAUUUUCUAAGCAAUCAUUAUUAUUUUCUGACUCUACAACUAUUGUUUAUGAGGUUUGAACACAUUCAUCACACCUCACACAUUGUAGACGUCUGGCUAUUGUUUUUGGAUCAACAACAGGUUCUAAAACAUUAGUACCUCUUGACAAUGAUAACCUACAUAAGUAUUUUAGCAUAUACAAUGGAAUUGAUCUAUUUACAUGGUGAACGUGAGUAACUACGAAUAACCCUUCAACCAGAUGCAAGCAAAUCUAAUUUGCAAGGCUGCUGUCAAGAUCUCCACCAUGUAUCAAGCUUCUGUUGUCUGCACGUUGAAGUUUCUCGGUCAACACGGUCUUGUACUGCUCAUCUCUGUGCUUAAAAUUGAGCAUAAAUUCAACCUGCCAGAGAUAGGAAGACAAAUGAGAUCAUUCAGACAAAAUUACCUAUCAGAAAAUCGAUGUCUUUGACAAGUAGUGCGCAUGGGAAAAAGCUAACAUUAGUUCAAAUAAUAAAUGUAGACAAGGUGAUCCACAAAAAAAAAAAAAAAAAAAAAAAGCAAAGUGAAUACUUUUUAUAUAAUUUUUGUGGUUAAGUACUUCCAUUAUGAGAGAUAUCUUUACCUGUUUCUGGAACAAAUCAAAUUCAUCUGAGCUAAGAGAACCAUCGCUGCAUCAUCUCGAGUUAGAGGCAAGGUGCUGAGUAACGGAAUGGAGAGCUUGAGAUCUUGCAGAGUAAUGAAGGGUCCUGUGUUUGGUAAGCUCAAUUCAGGAAAGUGUGAAUCUUUAGGCCCCAUUAGAGUUGUCUAAUCUCUUCAAAGAACAAAUUUUCAAAAGACAUGAUCUAGUAUACAUUUACCUGGAACUUGUUCAGCCGAUCAGCCAGUUUUUUUAUUGCUUCUUGCACAUCUUGCUCACGACAUAGGUCGUCAAACUCCAUCUCCACGGAGGAGACCUCUUGAGCAGCUUGACCAGAGUUUUCACUCAUUUUCGGGUGGCUCUGCUAAUAAUAGUAGGGCCUGGAGAAAAGUAUCAACACAAAUUCAAAAUUUCCGAAAACGUAAACAUGAAGUUUGCUGCUAUUUCCACCACUUUCGACUAGUUUCACAACCACCAUAUUUGACUCCAUCACUCACGGACCAUCUAAUCAAUUUCUCUACUGAAACACAAAGACAAUAGCUAGUAAGGAUGCUAUACAUUCUUUAUUAUAAUCACGAGAGAGAAUGGCAUGUUGGAUAGCUAAUUACAUAUACAUCACAUCUAGGAUACUAUAUAUGGCUAUUCUUUCUUUAGGAACCAACAGGUUCUACAACAUUAGACCCCUGAACAAUAAUAACUUACAUCAUUCCAAGAGAAAUUUGGUAUAUACAGUUCAAAUAUUUCUAUUUACAUGGUGAAUGAGAGUAACUACAGAUAUCUCUUUAACCAGAUGCAAGCAGAUCUAAUUUCCAAGCCUGCUGCUAAGAUCUUCACCAGACACCUGGAUCAAGCUGCUACUGUUGGCAAUUUGAAGUUUCUCAUUCAAUACGGUCUUGUACAGCUCAUCUUUGUCCUCGAAAUUACGCAUAAAUUCAACCUGCAUAUAUAGGAAGAAAAAAAUCAUUCAAAUGCAACUGCCUACAGGAAUCAAUGUCUUUAACAAGUAAUGUGAAUGGCAAGAAGCUAAUUGUAGUGCAGAUAAUUAAUGUAGAUAAAGGGUUCCAUAAACAUGAAAUAAAGUACAAAAUAAUGGUCCACCAAAAAAUUUCAAAGAAGUGGCGCAUCAAUCUGAGAGUCCUUUUAGUACAAGUUUUCGUGGAUAACUACUUUGAAUGUGAAAUACAGCAAUCUUUACCUGUCUCUGAAAGAAAUCAAAUUCAUCUGAGCUAAGUGAACCAUCACUAUUUGCAUCAAGGAGCUGCAUCAUCUCACGAGCAUCUUCCCCUGGGGCACCAAGCUCUUCCAUCACCUCCAUAAGUUCCUCAAUAUUGAUCCUACCAUCUCCAUUCUUGUCAAGAAGGCGGAAUACUCGAUCGCUCUGACUCUGCUCCAUCUCAAUACCUUCAUGAUUUGUGGAUGGAAUAUCUUGAAGACGCAAUGCCGCAAAUUCAGCUGCAGCCAUCAUUAUGGCCUUGAGUCGCUUUGCCUGAUCAUCAUCAACAAGUGAUUGUAAGUCACAUAACAGGCGAAUAUAAACCAUUUCAAGUACAUUUACAAGCUUAAUGCGCAGGAAAACCAUUCAAAAUUAGCAUUCAUAAAGGGCAUAUAUCAAACAACCUCUUCUGGGUCUGUAAGACCACUCUUGUACAAUGAGUGGGAUGCCGUUCCAGCAUCUGCCAACAUGUCCAUCUCCUUAGUCCUUAUUUGUAUUUCCAUCAAUGGUCUACUCUUGCCACAGUCACUAACAUCAACAGCCAUAUGUAAACUCCUGUACCCAUUUGUCUUGGGCCUGGCAAUGUAAUCUUUUGUCCUAUGAGGCAUUUCCUUCCACAAAGAUCGAACAACUUCACGCGUCCUGUAACAGGCGCUUUCCCCUACUUCUGCCAUAUCUUUGCCACUCCUAGGCUCCAAAAUGACUCUCAAUCCUAACACAUCAUGUACUUGCUCUGGCUUCCUACCAUCUUUCAACAGCUUCUUCAUGGUGCUAAACCGACUCUUAUACCGACCAUCAACUGAAACAUCAACAACCAUGCCUGCCAACAAAGGAUCAACUCUCAAAGACUGCAAGAGCUGUUCCUUGUAUACAUCAACCAGAGGCUUACUUCCACUCUCAUGACUUUUCAACCAUGAAUCAACAUAAAGGUAGGAAUGGGGAAACAAGUACUGAAACGAGAGAUCCUCCAGCUCCAGUGACAGCCAGUUGGUCCCAACAGCGUGAGCUAAAGGUGCGUGAAUCUUCAUAACCUCUAGAGAAAUCGAUUGUUGCUGAUACCUUGGGAGGUAACCAAGAUGUCUCAUCAUGUCAAGCCUGAGGACCAAAUCUAAAAUCACAGCCCUCAUAUCAUAGUACGUCAAGCAGAACUUUCUCAGCGCAGCAGCACUGCCAUCAUCCAAGACAUCAACUUUAGAAGGGACCUUCAGGACCCGCAAGCUUUCAUGCAAUAAAUGGGCAGUGCCAGUACCAAUCUGGUUUCUAACAUCAAGAAUCGAAAUUGCACCAGCCUCCACAACUGGUCUGAGUAUCCCAGCUGAGAUAACUUCUGCAUCCAUCUACAACAAUCAAAUUCACUGAAAACCCAUUAAUGGUAUCAUCAAAAUUACAUAACUGAAGGUCCAGAUAUUGAAAAAAAAAGUCCAUACCUGAAGAUCUGCGAGAAGGAGGGAAGUAGACAAGGCCCUGGAGAGCGAGGAACGACCAUCUGGGGUUAGAGGCAAAGCGUGAAGCAGAGGAAUGGAGAGCUUGAGAGCCUUGAAGAGUAACUGGGACCCACUGCUGGAGAGCAUCCCCAUCCUCUCUGUGAGCUCGUUGAAUGCCCCCACCAGCUCAACCACCAUCUUCCCUCCUGUCUGUUCCAGCAGAAACGACCGAGUUUUCAAUAAACCCAGUCUUCGAAUUCGCUGAGUACAACAUCUCUGCACGGUCACAGUACCCGGGACUAUCCGUAUAGUACGGUCAUGGGUUUUGGGUAUUGGCUCCUGAUGAAGAAGACGAUGAUGAUGACGUGGAUAGUAAAGCUCCAUAGAUGGAAGCUCCAUGCUUAUGUCUCUGCUUUGUUCGUGGUGGAGAGGUAAAGAGUAGACAGACAGUGAGGAGGACAAUAUAAGGAUAUGCUUGUAAUUUUAUCAACUUUAUCCUCUUUUAAACUUGUAAAAAGUAGGGGUGGGCACGGUCCGGAUUGGUUCGAUUUUACUCUCAAACCACAGCUGAACCAAUAAGAAAAUAACGGUCCGGUUUGGUUCGGAUUAGCCUAAAAUCAUAAUGAAAACCGAACCAAUCCAAACCACUUGUAAUCGGUUUGGUUCGGAUUGGUUCGGCCGGUUUGUGCCUAACACAAAACCAUGCAUUUUUCAACCUGCUCUUACAUUAUAAUGCUAACAUUUUGCCAUUAUAUCAUUCCAUUCCAUUCCAUCAAAGGCUAAUACAACAUCAUUCCAUUUAUUCAAAGGUUGUCCAAUGUCUAGCAUGCAUCUAAGUUCACAAUUUUCAUCAAAACAAACAUAUACAAAAUUUGCAUUAAAUUUACUCAUUGCAUUCAUCACAAUACAAACAAAUGAAAAGCUUUUAUCACAGAGAGGUAAAUACUUUUAUCACAGAGGUGGAGUUUGAAUGCGUAUAAAAUUAUGAAAUGGACCCAUUAAUUAAGAUAGAUAGAGUAAGAAGAGCCACACAACACAAAGAGCAAACACACAUAGUAGAGAUAGAAAGAGAGGGAAAUACAAGCACACACAAAUAACUGGGAUAUGCAAAUUAGAAGAUCAAAACGUGCACCAACAUUCAGAUACGCGGACUCACAAAACGCACACAAACCUUGCCACAUGUAAACUAAAUUAAAUAAAUAAUAAAUUAAUUUAUAAUCGGUCCGGUUCGGUUUAUGACAGUUUUUAAAACUCUCAAACCACAGCUGAACCAAACCAAACCGGUUCGGUUCGGUUUUUCAAAAUGUUGACUUUUUCUUUGGUCAAAACCAAACCAAACCAAUCCAAUAUAAUCGGUUCGGCCGGAUUGACCGGAUCGGCCGGAUUGAUGCCCACCCCUAGUAAAAAGUCACUAUUGCUCCUGAUAGUUUAUUAAUUGUUUCACUUUUAUCCAUGUGAUUCAAAUUCUCUCAAUUGGAUCCCUAUAGUUGAAAUCAAGAACACAUUUAAAUUUCUGUUCAAUUUUAUGAUGGAGUAAGGGUCUGUUUGAGAAUGCUUUUAGAAUGGUUAAAAGCUUUAUGACAACCAAAAAAUUUUUUGAUAGCGUUUGGCAGAAAUAUUUAUAAAUAAUUUUGGCCCAUAAAAAGGUUUUUUAAAUAAACACUUGGCAUAUGUUUCUUCAAUAUAAGCACUUGGAUUUUCAAUAAAUUUUUUGACGUUUUUCUAAUAAAAACACUUUUAUAAGCACUUAUGAAUAGAGAUUUUUUCUACAGAAGCAUUCUCAAACGAGCUUUAAGUACGUGUCAUUGAUGUGGAGAAAUAUUUUGGACAAAAUUAAUUAAUGAAUUUGAUAGAAUUUAUAAAAUAUCUUUGAAUUACGAGAGAUUUAAAACUACGGGACCAAAGUAAUAAAACAUGUGAACUAUAGGAGUGAAAAAUACAUUUUGCCUUUAAGUAAUUGGACAAGAACAACGUCGUCCCUUAAACUGAUGUGAUACACGUGUCAAGAUACCUUUGCUGGAACACAGUGGACUCGAAUGCAGUGAAACUUAUACCCCGUCUCUCUCCCUCAAGUCCUAAACCCUACGCCAAGCCCCCAUUCGAAAACUCUGCAACCUCUUUUGGGGUUUCACAGCCAAUCAGCCAUGCCAUCAAACCCAUCAAUCCAAUAAGACUUUUGAGAUUCACUGCGGCCAUGUCGGCCUUAUCAAGAGGCCUCCUUUCUCGGCUUCGCCUUCUCUCCCUCAACCCCACCACCACCUCUUCUGCUGCUGCUGCUAAUGCUAAUGCUACGACGUCGUUUACGCAAACUCAGUACCAUUUCUUCAGAUGGUUCAACUCCGAGGCCUUGGUUGAUGCGUCUGAGGUCGCCGAGGAGCGGAGCCGCGUCAUCGAAGCCAAGCCUGGGGCGAUGAGCCCAAGCUCAAAGAGGACUGGUCUCAUAGCCGUCAAGUGUGGGAUGACUGCGCGCUGGGACAAAUGGGGUGCUAGGGUUCCCAUCACUGUGCUUUGGGUCGAUGAUAAUAUCGUCUCUCAGGUCAAGACCCCCGAGAAAGAGGGCUUCCCUGCUCUACAGGUAACCUUUUUUCUCUUCAUUUUGCUCUGUUUGUGACGAAUUCAUUUUGAUUGAUUACUGUUUUGUUAAACUAUUUUUGUAUUCGUGGGUUGAUUUAUAAUAUCCCUGUAGCUUUAUAGGUUAUGAAAUUUCCGAAGUUUAGAUUUUUCAGAGUUUGGAGAGACGAUAUGCGUUCAGUCCUUUGGAGCGGAUACAACUUAACAUUUGGGCACACACCGACUUUAUGAUUUUGUUAUUCAACUAAAGCAAUAUUUGCUCCAUUUUAGCGGUUUUAAAUCUGCAAAAAGCCAGUCUGGAGACCAGACUACUUGGCAAUUUAUCAUUAGUCAGAUCAUCUGGAGUUUAUUAUUUGGUGGCUUCAGUUGUGCUUUACAAUUUGAAGCUAUACGCAUCCCUUGCUGGGCAUAUAUGAAAGGUCUUGUUAGUUUUGUUACAGUAAAAGGGGUUUCUAUGAAUGGGGUGCUCAUAAAUUUCAAAAUUCGUUGUCACCGAGGGCGCAUAAUUUGUGAUUUGUUUUCCUUCUGUUUUGUUAAUUAUAUGACAGGCCAAUUUGGCAGUGAUAGUGUAGGAACCACUUUUGCUUAGAAGUGCUUUAGUUGAAAGUGUUUUUGAUAGAAUCACAACAAAUUUAAAAUUGAAAUUCCAAGUGCUUUUGUUGGAAGUGUUUUCCUUUGGUUCUUGCAUCUGUUUUUUCUUUUUCUUUUGUUUUGCCAACAUUGAUCAUAUUGAUUUUUCUUGGUAAUUAAACAGAGGGCAAAUUUAUAUUUUCAAAAAAAUUCAAGGGCACGGGUUAAUUAUAGGAUGGUAUUCUGUUGUGGUGCUAGUUAGAUUGGUUGCGGACAGAAGAAAGCAAAACAUUUGACAAAGUCUGAGGUCGGUCAUUUCAGAGCUCAAGGUGUUCCACUUAAGAGGAAACUGAGGGAGUUUCCUGUGACAAAGGAUGCGCUUCUCCCUGUCGGUAUGUCAAUUGGUGUUCGCCAUUUUGUUCCAGGCCAAUAUGUUGAUGUCACAGGAAUCACGAGAGGGAAAGGUUUCCAGGUGAACUAAAUUCCUAAUCCUCAUUUUUUGGUCUAUCCUGUGGUUGUAUGUAUUUUUUGAAGGAAAAAAAAUAAAAUCCUUGUAUUAAGGAUCCAAUCAAUGAAUCUACUGCAGUGAUAAAAAGUAAUACAUUCUUUAGAUGAUGAAAUAUUAUGUAUCAUUUUUAUUUUCUGUGUUCAGGGCGGGAUGAAACGGCAUGGUUUUAAAGGAAUGCCAGCAUCUCAUGGUGCAUCUUUGUCACACCGAAGUAUUGGUUCUACAGGUCAGAGGGAUGCUCCUGGAAAGGUUUGUAUGGGAUCCAAAUCUCCUUAAACUAUUCCCAUGAACUCUUUUGGAAAAUCAGUAUAACCAAAUCUUUUUGCUUCAAAUGAGAUAGCUUAAUUUUGUCAAAUAAUCUGUUGCUCACUUGUUUGUUCUCGGACAUGCUACAUUGCAUUGACUUUCUACAUACUAUUGUGUUUAACCUGUUUAUCUUUUCCCCCCAUAUGAGUAAACACUAUCGCAUUUGUGUGGUCUGGAAAGUUCAAUAAAUGUUUUCUGUAAAUUUCUUCAUUGGUUUGCUAUAAUUAUGUUUCAAGAAUCAAAAUUUCUGAAUAUUUCCGGAUGCAUUCUAGUUCCAUUAGGUUAUAAAUUGUAAUUGUGACAAUCAUAUGUUUGUAUGAACAGGUAUUUAAAGGCAGGAAGAUGGCUGGGCGCAUGGGUGGGAAACAGAGGACGGUAAAAAAUGUAUGGGUCUACAAAAUUGAUCCUGCAAGGAAUUUGAUGUGGGUGAGAGGCCAAGUAAGAUUUCCUCACAAACUUUACUUUUCUGAAUUAAGUGCUCAAAAUUGGAUGGAAAAGGAGGAGGUUAUCCACGGUCCUCUUCAAUUACCUGCACACUGAUGACCCUAAGUGAAUGCAUUUUGAAUCUUAUUCAACAGUAGUUUCAUGAGCUUAAUGAUCUUCAUAAGUGUUUAUAACGUUCAGGGGAAAAGAAUGUAUAAUGAAGGGUUUUGUGCCGGGUAGAGGAUUUUGGUUGGUUUAAUGAAAUUGCUGAUACACAUUCACAACUGCACAGUUUAAAGGCCAUACGAUGAUUGGUCUUAAUCCUCUUCAGAAGUCAGUAUGUUGUAUUGUUAAUCCUGGUUUUGUGUUACUCAUUUGGAUGUUGUCUAUUCUCCCAGGUCCCAGGUGCUGAAGGGAACUUUGUGUUCAUAAGAGAUGCUUUCUACAAGAAACCUGAUAUUUCAUUGCUACCAUUUCCGACUUACUUUGCUCCGGAGGACGAGGAUGCAACCAAGUUAGAAACACUGGUUGCUGAUCUUGGAGAGGUAGAUCCAUUCAUGGUGGCAGAUUAAGCAGGAGCGUAAUCUGAAAUCCCGUGAGGAACUAGGAUGUUUCAUUCAGCCUAAUUGACUACACUGCGGUCACGUCCUCUUUGAUGAUGCAAAGAGCAUGCUGGCUUUAGGGUUAUAAAGACCUGUCUGAGGGUGUUGAAUAUGUUUUGUUUUUUCUUUAAAGUUGAUUUUUGUUAGAGGAAUGCAAGCGCAGAGGUUGUAAUAUUUAUAUAAUUUAGUUCAUUUCAACCUCAGAAUUGAAUACUGACCGACAAUGGUUUUUUUUUUUUUUUCGGUUGGAACCAUGUUUUGAAAUAAAUGUGGCUGGCAUGAAAUUGACUCUUAGCAUGGCUGUGCUUUGAACCAGUUGAAAAGCAUUGAUACUUUUCCAAUAGAAGAGGCUUCUAAACUCAAAUGAAUUGUUGCAAGAUACAGAAGAAAAGGUUCAAAAAAGAAGAAAAUGGAAUCAAUUUGUCAUGCUAUGGAUUUUUAGUUCUGUUCUUUCUGGUAUUUGUGUGCAGGAUGGGAUUAAAAGCAUUUAAAAAGAAGAAGAAGAAAAAAUGCAAAAGCAGAAAAAGGGCUUUUGCUUUUGGAGUUUUGCCAAAUUUGCAUUCAAACGCAAACAGUCAAGUGCCAAACACUCGUAGACUUAAAAACCAAAACCCAAUCGAUGAUUUUAUUGACCAGCCUCCUAAGGAAUUUGCUGCUAUUAAGUUUCGGCUCUGAACCUCGUCUUCUCCUCGCCCCAUUUCGUACCCAAAAAAACCCUAAAUUCCACCUCCCUCUUCUUCUUCUUCCUCCUCCUCCUCCUAGUGUUACCGUUACCCAAUAAUCCUGACCCUCCAAUCUCACAGUCAAAUGCGAGUUCAAUGGCAAUGAAGCGAGACCAACCCGACCUCGAGAAGCGACUCUGCGGCGUCUGCGGCUCCACAGAGCGUUGGUUCCUGCACUACGUCCGCCACAGAGGACAUUUUCGUAAGCUCUGCACCAACUGCGUCCUCAAGAACAACCCAGGCCUCUUCUGCCCUAUCUGCCUCGACUUCUUCGAGCACCCCCUUCCGGCACGUGACCAGGUCAUGUGCGUCCGGUGCCCUUCCAUCUCUCACUCUGCCUGCGUCGCAGCCAAUUCCUCCUUCCGCAGCUUCCAGUGCCCUCCCUGCUCCCAGCCCACCUUCUCCUUCUUCAACCUCGCCCGCCAAAACGACGGCCAAGAUGCCAAAACGACAGUCGUCAUCGACAAGGACGCCGCCAAGGCCCUCGUCGCCGCCGCCAGGAUCGCAGCGGCUUUGAUGACCAAAGCUGCCGUCGCCGCCAGGGUUGACGCCGAGCGCCGGGUCAAGGAAGCCGUCGUGGCGAAAAAGAAGGCCAGAGAGGCCUUGGAACGACUCACGUCUCUUGUCAGUAAGGAAAAGGAGAAGGAUUCGAAGAGUGGAGGCGUUGUUUCGGCGCCUGAGAGCCUCAACGCGAAGCCCAAAUUGGAGGGUCCUGGGCCAAUUCAAGUGGCGCCCAAGAUUUCUGAGCCUGAGGGAAGUAAUGGGUUGAAAACCAGUCAUGCGGAUCCUAUGGAAGAAGACUGAUUUGAGAUCAAGGAAGGAGCUUGAGCUUCAUGGGUUCAUGGGUUCGUAGUUUAAGUUUCUUUUCAUUAUUUGAUGAUGCUCAGCUUUUGCUAUUUAGCUUCAGCUUGAGCUUCUACACAGUCUUCUGGCAAUCUGUGAGUCUCUUUGUUAGUUGCUGUUGGUUUUUUUUAUUAUUAUAAAUUUUUACGCGGCCGCCCUUGGAACUUUUGCAGAGACGAUGUUUACUUUCCCAAGCUGAUGAUUCUCUGGGCCCCUUUGUAUCUACAUUGUCCUUCUUUGCCAUAAUCAGAAAUUGCAUUUUGUAAUUCUCUGUUUUCUCCCUUUGCAUAAACUUCGUUUCCCAAUUAGCAUGAGAUAUUUUGUGGUUCCUUGGCUAUGAAGCUUUACCCAAUAUGUGUGAUGGCCUUGCUUGCUUGUGUGCAAAUGCAUUUUGUCCUGAUUUCGGUGCUAUUCAAGGAGAUGCUAGAAAGAUGACAUGUUUAUCAGAACUUCAAAGUUGGUGUUUCAUUAUACACACUGACCUAAAAUGAGUCUAUUUCUUGUUCCUUGCAUCUUGCAAGUUUUGCCGUCUUGUCUUGAAUGCAAAAUGAUAACUCUCUAGUUACUAAUGCUUUAUUGAGUCAAGUUCCUGAAAGACAUAUCAGGUAGUGAUAUGACUUUGGGUUUCCUGUUAUGGUUCCAAUUCAUUCACAAUUUUCUCUUGUUACAGUGCUCUUCCAGACAUUUUGUAGGUGCUUGCAUAAAGCUUAAAAUUUUAUGCUCUGUUGUGCCAACUUCAUGGUUACAAACCCAUUUGUCUGGUUAAAGCUCAAAAUUACAUUGCUGUAUGGUUCUCUUUUUUUUUCUUUUUUUGGUCGGAAUUGCUAUAUGGUUCUUAUUCGUAAGGUUUCGAUUAAAACCUAUUCUCGCGCAGAGUUCUGUGUGUGCAUGACGACAACUUCACAUGACUAUAUUAUGGAAGUCGUUUGAUCUGCGGCCGAUUGAAUGAUGAAUUGACCUAGGUUCCUUUUUACAUCACUGAAUCUUCAAAACUCAAUUGAGUUGAACCUUCUUAUACAUACCCUCUUCCAUGGUUUCUCUGUUUCCUUCCUCAUCUAUGCUCUCUGCCAUGAUGCUCAUCUUGUCAUCUAAUUUCAGUUUUGCGCAGCCGCAUUCCCAGCCACCCCUGCGUUUCCUUUUAUUUUUAUUUUUGAGAUGUCAAGUUUCCUAACAUGAAGGAUAUGUCAUGUGCACGAGUGCACUGCAUUCGCAUCCCUCUGUUUCCGUCCACCAUAUAUAUAAUAUAAUAAGUUUUCAAUUAAAGAGAGAGAGGAAGGCCAUUUCUGCAUGGCAAUAUUUUGAGAAGAAAAGGAGAAACGAUGCCAAUGAAGUCAUGAAUUUUACCGGUUUCUGACCAAACAAAUAUUGGAAGAUAGCAGGGCUUCAUAUUUGCCCGAUUAGGGUUUUUCUUUUUGGUCGAACUAUAUGUCGUAUGGGUUUGCUGACAAACAAAAUGGCUCAAUCAUUUUUCACUGAAAGGGUUGUACUUGUACGCCACGUUUUUGCCCUAAAAUCUAAAAUCCUGGAUCUGACCAAGAAAAAAUAAAAUUUAACUCUCAUUUUGGCCUCCUUUUUACAAGAAAGAAGAGAAAAAUGAAAAACAAUGUGCUUUGUCUAUAUCAGUUCCGAUGGAUCAAAAUUCAAGGAUGUGUCUUCCACGGGGAAGAAGAUAAGUAAGCAAAGCAUAUGUAUUUACUAUGAUGAAAUGUAUAUACAGAGAAAGGGCAUUUGGGUACAUAAAAAUGCUAUGCAAAAAGGUACUGAAAAACUGUACAGAUACAUACAGCAAUAUGCAAACAAUGCGCAGGGACAAAAGGGCUCCUUAUCUGUUAUCACUAGGGUGGGGUGACAAAUCAACAGCGCCAUCCUCUCUCUCAUCCAAACAUCCAUCCAUCCACCCAUCCAUCUUCAGAUUAAACUUGUUUAUUUCAAUUCAAAUCAAUGAGGCAGCUAAUCCUCCUCAUCUUCAUGUGUCAUGAUGAGUAGUUAAUUGGGUUGAAAUGGGAUCUCAUGAGCUAAUGUUUCAAACCAGUGAAGUAAGGCACGCCUGUGUUUCUCAACCACUGGUCUCCCAGUAGAAAAGGACCUGUAGUGAAUUGAAGAGCCUCAUUUCUGUUCCGGAUCACAUGAAAUCCCUUCCAUCUCACCCUUCCGUUGGUCACAGCCCCCGGACCCCGGUUCCCAUACUCUGCAAAAUACAGAGUAUCAAGUGCAAAGUUGCCACUCCAUUCCAGCCACCCUGCUGGUUGUAUGAAGUCUCCUAGUUCUGAUUCCAUGAUCACGGCCCUUGAGUAUGUCUUCCAUGGCCUCCCUAAGUAUGACUUAGUCUUGAACCUCGUUGGGAACAGAGCCUGUUCGGGGACUAUCCUGCAGUUCUGGAUGACAAUGCCUGUGGUUUCCCUCUUGUCCUGUCUUCCCUGAGCAGUCACAGUGUUUUGCUGGCCGUCCAUAGGCUUUCUCACUAUGAUCAAACAGUUCUGGAUGAGUGUUGGUGAGUCACCGAAGAUGAAGUCAACUGUGCCGGAAAUGACACAGUUGCGAUAGAACUGGCGAUGUGUUUGGACGUACAAUGUGUCUUGGUACGCAUCCAUUCUACAGUUGAAGAAGGCUGACAUCUCCGACUGGACGCGGAGUGCCACCGCCUGAUGCUUCUGGGCGCCGGCUGUGUUCUGAAAUCCCAUUGCCUUGGCUAGAAACCCACUUCCAAUUGCGGCUGUGAUUAUAAAGAAGAAAAUGUGUAUCUAUUACAAGGUUACUAUAACAGCCAAUCCAUCCAUAUCAUGUAAAUUGGUUUUCUGUAAAGCAUUAGGGUCAUCAAAUUUGUUCAGCAAAUAAGGCGUGUGUAAAUAUAUGUCAGGUUCACAGUCAGUUUAAAUAAAGCAUUAUUUAGUGAACAAAUUUGGUGACCGUAGCAUUAUUGGUAUGGUAUUAUUAACUGGAGAAGUAAUAUCUAACAGGUGACUCACCGAAUGUGGCGGUGUUCUGGGUGGUGAUGCCAUCAGCCCAGCUUUUACUCCCAGUGACCAUGGUCUUCCGGGGUCCAUCUCCAUACAUGAACACAUUGACCUGGUCCUUGGUAACAGUAACGUACUCAUUGUAAAUCCCAGCCUUCACAUAUAUGAUAUAUCUUCCCUUAAGCCCCUUAGGAUAUGCAGCAAGAGCCGCACCAAUUGUUUUGUAUUGUCCACUUCCAUCUUUUGCCACUACCGCAUUUGGUCUAACCUGUCCGUUGCUCUGACUUGCCAAUAGCCUCCUGUCUGCAGCGCGAAACCAACUAGGGUACUGGCCUUGCUCAUCAUUAUUGUGCUCGAGAAGUCUUCGGGAGCUGCUUGGAUUCCUUAAAUCUUUGUUUAAAGUGAUGUUGAAGCUUUGUAAGAUCUCAGAAAUUGAGGAAGCAAUUGCUAAGGCAUUGCUCGUCAGCUGCGUGGCAUUGAGAAGCCCAUCUUUCAUCUGUUUUUGGAGCUCUUCUUGAGGAAUCCCAUCAAGGCAUGAUUGUUGGAAUGAUAUCACAGCACUCAACCAAUUUUUCAGCUCAUCCUCUCUAUCAUGCAUUGUGUGCAUAUCACCGUCCCCCACGUAUGAAAACGAAGCUUGAAGAUCAGCAAUCGCCGAUUCCAACAAGUCCUUGCAAUCAUCCAUUGCCAUUUUUCCCGUGGAAUUGAGAUUGCUAAAUGAUUUGGCAAUGUUGCCAGAAUUGUCUAUUGCAGACUUCACUGUUGAAAUGGUGGAAUCAAUGGCUGCUUGGAUGAGGUCUUUAGCCGUGGCGCUUUCAUUUUUCGCAACUUUGCUAAGGCUGUUGAUGCAUGCUUCCUUGUAAUCAGUUGGCUCACAAAUUGCAGCAACGGCCUUAGAACUUGUAGAAAGUUGGUCCUUGUGACUCUUCCUAGUGCAAACCACAGCCACAAGACCAACCACGACGCCAACGACAAGGACAAUUGAAACUCCUCCUAUUACUAGCUUUCCUUUUUUCUCCAUAACUUAGUUUCUGAUAUCUGAUUUUGGUGAAGAAAUGGAAGUUCUAAAUCAUGGAGAUCAUGUAUAUAUGUUAUAUAUAUAUAUACAGCUACAAAAAGGCAUGCAUUGCAUUGGGGGCUGUCCAAAUUUAGGGGUGAUUUUGAAGGCCUUGUCUAGAAUAAGAGCAAGGUAGAUGGUGUGAAGCUUAGGACAAAAAUUCCCAUAAUGUGGUGGUGGUUAAGGGACAGUUAUAUUAGUUAUUGUGUAUAUAUAAGAUCAUCAUCUCCUACAAUUUCUCCGGAAUGAGUUCCUGCUCACCAUUGCCUCUGUCUUUUUUUGGACUUGAUGAUCAUACCAAAACCUACCAACAACAGAGUUCACUUCCCUACUCCCUCCCUCCCUCUACCAUGCACCCUAUCUUUAGAGGGACGAUAUCCAUUUUUUACUUGACCUUCAAGUCAAGCAAUCUCUGUUGUGGCCCAAGAUAUCAAUCAAAAGCUCUGUGUUUUCUCUACGUAUAUCUAGGCUUUUAGAAGAUGGGAUGAUAUUUUUGUCUUCUUUUUUUUUAAUUUUCACGUAAUUGCAAAUCCUAUUCGAAUGUUUUAAAUUAGAGUUCUAAAAUCCAAUUACUCUUGAAAUUAAACAUUACAUAUAUUACACUAACAAGCUAACAUGACAGUAAUAUCUCAUAACAAGUUGACGUGACAGAUCAUUAUAACACACACACACAUUCAUAUUUAAAUCCUUAUCACUAUAUAGUCUAUAAUUAAAAAUAUUAAAAAAAAUCACCAUAUUAUUAUUAUAUCACAUUCAUUCAUGCAAAUUUUACAGUCAACCUUUUGUAUUUGCAAAUACAUAUUUUGGCAAAUGUUUUUAAAAAACAAAACAUUUUUAGGGACCCACAAUAUCUUAUCAACGGUGAACAAAGUAGAAGGUGCUGAAAAAUAGGGUGAGUUUGAAGGUUCUCUCGCUCCAAAGUGAAGACAAAUGACUUCGCUCCAAGUCCUUCAAGCCACCCCACCUCACCUAAGCUCGCCCAAGACCCAGAUUUCACCAUUACGUGGCAUCGAAUCAUGUUCAACCAUGGCCGAGCUCAGGCAGUUGCACUCCAAAGUCAUCAGGCUAGGCCUCGCAGCCGACAACGAUGCCAUGGGUCGUGUCAUCAAGUUCUGUGCCCUCUCCAAGAAUGGCGAUUUGGGUUAUGCUCUCCAAGUGUUCGAUACAAUGCUCCACCCGGAUGCAUUCAUUUACAACACCGUAAUGAGAGGCUACUUGCAAUGCCAUUUACCGAGAAAUUGCAUUGUUUUGUACUCACAGAUGUUGCAAGACUCUGUCACUCCCAAUAAGUACACGUUCCCUUCUGUUAUACGAGCUUGUUGCAAUGAUGAUGCUAUUGGAGAAGGGAAACAAGUCCAUGCCCAUGUUGUGAAACUGGGGUAUGGAGCUGAUGGGUUUUGUCAGAAUAAUUUGAUUCACAUGUAUGUGAAGUUUCAGUCUUUGGAAGAAGCUAGAAGGGUCUUCGACAAGAUGCUCCGGAUGGAUGCUGUGUCUUGGACGACAUUGAUUACUGGGUACUCGCAGUGUGGUUUUGUUGAUGAGGCCUUUGAACUUUUUGAGUUGAUGCCUGAGAAGAACUCUGUUUCUUGGAAUGCCAUGAUUUCCUCGUAUGUCCAGAGUGAUCGUUUUCAUGAGGCAUUUGCUUUGUUCCAAAAGAUGCGAGUGGAAAAGGUGGAAUUGGAUAAAUUCAUGGCGGCUAGUAUGUUAUCGGCUUGUACAGGUUUAGGUGCUCUAGAACAAGGGAAGUGGAUUCAUGGAUAUAUUGAGAAAAGUGGGAUUGAAUUGGACUCAAAACUUGCAACAACAAUCAUCGACAUGUAUUGCAAAUGUGGUUGCUUGGAGAAGGCUUUUGAAGUUUUUAAUGGUUUGCCCCAUAAAGGGAUUUCUUCAUGGAAUUGCAUGAUUGGAGGGCUAGCAAUGCAUGGGAAGGGAGAGGCUGCCAUUGAGCUUUUUGAGAAGAUGCAAAGGGACAUGGUAGCUCCUGAUAACAUUACUUUCGUUAAUGUCCUUAGUGCAUGUGCUCAUUCAGGGUUAGUUGAAGAGGGGCAACGGUACUUCCAGUCCAUGGUUGAAGUCCAUGGUAUUGAGCCCAGAAAAGAGCAUUUUGGCUGCAUGGUUGAUCUUCUUGGAAGAGCUGGGAUGCUUGAGGAAGCAAGAAAGCUAAUAAGUGAGAUGCCAAUGAGCCCCGAUGUAGGCGUAUUGGGUGCUCUACUCGGAGCUUGUAAGAUCCAUGGAAAUGUUGAACUGGGAGAACACAUAGGAAGGAUAGUAAUUGAACUGGAGCCAGAAAAUAGUGGUCGCUAUGUGUUAUUAGCCAAUCUAUAUGCCAAUGCCGGCAGAUGGGAAGAUGUUGCUAAUGUGAGGAGGUUAAUGAAUGACAGGGGAGUGAAGAAGGUUCCUGGAUUUUCCAUGAUUGAACUGGAAGGUGUUGUCAAUGAAUUUAUUGCAGGGGGAGGGGCUCAUCCUCAGACAAAAGAGAUAUAUGCCAAGGUUGAUGAGAUGCUGAAAUGUAUAAGAUCUGCAGGCUAUGUUCCUGACACAGAGGGAGUGUUGCAUGAUCUUGAUGAGGAGGAAAAGGAGAAUCCUCUAUACUACCACAGUGAGAAACUUGCAAUUGCCUUUGGCCUACUGAAGACUAAACCUGGGGAAACUCUUCGUAUAUCGAAGAACUUGCGAGUCUGUAAAGACUGCCACCAAGCAAGCAAGCUCAUCUCCAAGGUUUUCGAUCGGGAAAUAAUCGUGAGGGAUCGAAAUCGUUUUCACCAUUUUAAAAGGGGAGACUGUUCUUGUAAAGAUUAUUGGUAAUGCUGUGUGGUGGUCAGCUGUAGAGAUUUUGUCUUAACAAAAGAAAUACAUCUUACUUAAGAUAUGCUGUAAGCAAGAUAGGUUCAUCCAAAUACUGAAAUUCAUUUGGUUGUGUUAUUAUUUUGAUCAAAUUUGUGGUUUUCUAGCACAUGAGUUUAUGAUUUGUCUUUGCUUUGACGAUAAUUUUAUGCUUCAAAUUUCUUCCCUGUGUUAAAAAAACAGUUUGUAUAGAAUUGAGUGAAAGACAUUUUGUGAACGAUUCACCAAACCAGUUGUGCACUCACUGAGUCAAACUCACACAAUUAUAUUGUGCAAUAAAUAUUUGUCUUGAAUUAUUUAAAAUAUAAAAAAACAGCUAAAAAGAACUCUCUGUUGGAGAGCCAAAGGCCAAAAUUACCUUUAACCUUAUUUCUUUAUUUAAUUUUUAUAUUUUUCUCAAUCAAUCAUUGGUAGUAAAUAGUAAAAAUAAAUAAUAUGUUUACCAUAAAGAACAGAAACCCUAAAAAACGGCGGGUCGAGCAAUCGAGUCGAACCUAUUCCACUCGCGACUCACGAUUCCGAACGAUCCCAGCUCGUUCUUCUUCCUUCACCCAAUUUUUCAAGUUUUCCCACCAAUCCGACCCUCAAAAACCUAACUUUCCAUCCAUUUCUCCACUUUCGAGCGUAUCAAUCAUCCCAAAUCCAAAUGCGUCUGACCCACAUCGAAGAAUUUUAGAUAGGUCAAUAUUUCUUUAUGCCAUUCGUUUUUUCUAACCCAGGUAAGCAGAAUUUAAGCAACCAUUUAGUUUUCUGAGCUGUGUAUUUUUACCUGGUGUUCAGUGGAAUCAGAUUAUCCCCUUUCUAUAUAUUAUUGUGUUAGAAAGUUUUAGCCUUAAAUUUGGGUGUUAGGAAAUUUCAGCUGUGGUUUUUAUGUGAUUAAUUGCGAAAAAGUGAGUGCCAAUUUGUCUGAUUUUUAUCUCAUGCUUAGUCUUGUUUGGUCUCAGCUAGCUACCUAUGUACAAUGUUUGCUUCUUCUUUUUUGGGGUACCAUUUAUUGUGGCUUUUUGUUGUUUCAAAUCUUGUUCUGCUGCUUCAAAUGCUGAGACAAAAUUAUUUUGAAGUGCUGGAUUGAGUUUUUGAAACAAGUAAACCCAUUUGUUGCUUUCCAAGCUCAGAAGGAGUUGCCCUUUCUGUUGAAAUUUUCAUUUGAACAGUUAAAUGACAUUUUAAUAUCAACAUCUAUUAUAAAUUUGUGAAACCCCAAUUUUAUUUGUGUGAAUUAUUUUGAGUUGGUUGUGUGCUAGGUCCAGAGUUCCAUUAGUAACCAGUCCUUUUUCAUAUAUUUUUUUUGUCGAAAUCCUUUUUCAUAUAUUUUUUUUGUCGAAAUCCUUUUUCAUAUUGUGUCAAUGUAUGAAGCACGUUAAGAAUCUUGCCAGCUAUGUCUUUAUUACUCCAUGUUAAGCUUGAAAACAUGUCAUCUUACUGUCUUUCAUGCUGAAUUCUUACAUAUUUCUCAUUUUUGCUCGCUAUGCUUUGGCCUAUAUGCUGCCCUUAAGCUAAUGAACGAAUAUGUUUGAAUAUUUUUUUCAAACAUCUCCUGCAGAUUCCUAUUUCCUGUUGCCUAACUCUCACUGUGGUAAACACCAACAUCCUCUUUACUAGUGUCAUUGUCGGACCAUGCAACGUUGCAAGAUUAAAGAUAUUGACUUCUGUUAGUGCUGAGAAUACAGCGAGUGAAUCAGACAAGGGUAGUUUCUGAUAUACGUUCUUAAAUGGUUUAAAUUGACAGCCACAAUGCGCUCCUCUGGACUUGUUGACCCUGGAUGGGAACAUGGCAUGGCUCAAGAUGAGAGGAAGAAAAAGGUUAAAUGCAAUUACUGUGGAAAAAUAGUUAGUGGAGGAAUAUAUAGAUUGAAGCAACAUUUAGCCCGAGUUUCUGGAGAAGUUACUUAUUGUGAUAAGGCUCCAGAGGAUGUGUACAUGAGUAUGAAAGCAAAUAUGGAAGGAAGUCGUUCUAAUAAGAAACCUAGGCAUUCUGAAGAUAUUGGGCAGGCAUAUUUGAAUUUCCAAUCUAAUGAUGAUGAAGAAGAGGUGCAUGUUGGUUAUAGAAGCAAAGGAAAGCAAUUGAUGGGUGACAGGAAUUUAGCUAUGAAGUUAACUCCUCUUCGGUCAUUAGGAUAUGUUGACCCUGGGUGGGAACAUGGUGUUGCUCAGGAUGAGAAAAAGAAAAAGGUGAAAUGCAUUUAUUGCGAGAAAAUAGUUAGUGGUGGUAUCAAUCGGUUUAAACAACAUUUAGCUAGAAUUCCUGGAGAAGUAGCACCUUGUAAACAUGCUCCUGAGGAAGUUUUUCUUAAAAUAAAAGAGAAUAUGAAAUGGCAUCGUACUGGAAGGAGGCAGAGACAAGCCGAUUCAAAGGACAUGUCACCUUUUGAUCUGCAGUCAGACAAUGAAGAUCAAGACGAUGACCAAAUGGAAGCUGCUCUGCAUCAUAUAAACAAGGAAAGAUUGAUUGAUGGUGAUAGGAGAUUGGGCCAAAAUUUGAGAAAUACAUUCAAGGCAUUGCCUCCCAGUACUGGUUCUGAACCAUUAUUUAAAAGAUCAAGGCUAGAUUCCCUUUUCUUGACUGCUCCCAAGAGUUUGACACCACAUUCU
rnacentral:lncRNA from 1 species